rnacentral:lncRNA from 1 species
GGUGGCUGUCAAUAGAUUGGCCCAAAAGGAAGAACAAGGAAAAGGGCACUAAAGAAGAUAAAUGAAAAUACAAGGGCAUAAGCUGAACUGUGGACAUCCUGCCACUGGGAAUUAAGUUAAAGUAGAAAAAAGCAGAAUGUAAUGGGGAGUCGCCUCACAAGAAGAAUUUGGAUCAAAGCAUGGCAGUGAGGGGAAGCAUUGAGCAGGAAACCAUGAGACCAAAACUUAAAAGCCAGAGCUUCCUGACUCCAAAAUCCUCUUUCUUUCCUGUUAUCCUGCUGAAGUGCCAAUUUCAAAUGAAGACUGACUUGAUCCUGAACAUAACCUACAAGAAGAAAGGGACCGCAGGCUAUACACAAAGCAUGGUGCAGGCAUCUGCUUCUGGUGAGGGCCUCAGGAAGCUUACAAUUGUGAUGGAAGGUGAAAAGGAAGCCAGUGCAUCACAUGGCAAGAGAGGGAACAAGAGAGAAGGGGACAGUGCCACACACUUUAAAAAAAAAAUCUUAUCUCAUGAGACAGAACGAACUGAGUGAGAGUUCACUCAUCCCCAAGGGAAUGGUGCUAAGUCAUUCAUGAGGGA